rnacentral:rRNA from 1 species
AUUGAACGCUGGCGGCAUGCUUUACACAUGCAAGUCGAACGGCAGCGCGGGCUUCGGCCUGGCGGCGAGUGGCGAACGGGUGAGUAAUGCAUCGGAACGUGCCCAGUAGUGGGGGAUAGCCCGGCGAAAGCCGGAUUAAUACCGCAUACGACCUGAGGAUGAAAGCGGGGGACCGAAAGGCCUCGCGCCAUUGGAGCGGCCGAUGUCGGAUUAGCUAGUUGGUGGGGUAAAGGCUUACCAAGGCGACGAUCCGUAGCUGGUCUGAGAGGACGACCAGCCACACUGGGACUGAGACACGGCCCAGACUCCUACGGGAGGCAGCAGUGGGGAAUUUUGGACAAUGGGGGCAACCCUGAUCCAGCCAUGCCGCGUGCGGGAAGAAGGCCUUCGGGUUGUAAAGCGCUUUUGUUCGGGAAGAAAUGCUCUGGGCUAAUACCCCGGGGGGAUGACGGUACCGGAAGAAUAAGCACCGGCUAACUACGUG